ensembl:lncRNA
UUAGUUAGUACGUUAGUUAAGAGAAAUCACAUUACGAUAUUAAUGCCUUUAAAAGGUGAAAAUGACUAUAAAAGAAGAUCAGAAGAUUUCCUUUGAAAGAAUGCAGCCAACGAGAUGCUCCGUCCUGGACCACAGAACUACACAGUGCAUAACCUGGGCGUCUAGCAGGAAUUGCAGAAAGAAAAAGAAGCAGGCAGGAGAGGAACUUCCGUGUGGACUGGAUGUCUUGGGAUCCAAGACGGGUGGCCUAAUGAGGCCUUCCUGGUUCCUCCUCAGCGCCUUUUCUCCCACGGGCUCUUCCGAUGAUGCACUCGCAGGAUUAUGGGAGAC